GGGGCUAUAGGUGGCUGUGGGGAGGUUAUGGGCGGGGGGGUAUAUAGUCAGGCUGCCCAGGGAGGCUGUGGAUUGUCCUUCUCUGGAGAUCCUCCAAACCCAGCUGGGUGCCUACCUGUGCAGCCUGCUGUAUGGAGCCAGUUUUGCAGGAGCGGGGGUGGGGGGGUUUUGGACUCAAUAUUCUCUAGAGAUUACUUCCAGCCUCUUCAGUUCUGUGAUUCUGUGAUUGUAAUCGUUGCUUCUUGCAGCAGUAGAGUGUUUCAGAAGAGAGAAAAAGAUGGUGGCCAUGAACUGGCUUUCUGUGGCUGGUAAAGCUGUGCUGAGAACUGGGCUGACUAUUGCAACUGAAAAUGCGUGCCAAGUCUGCAGACGCAGAGGAAUAACUAUUCCGUGUUGGUUGAGCUUGUCUAAGGUAGGUGUCCUUGCUAGGUGAGCUUCUGCUUUAAAGCAUCACGUUGUAAUUUUAAAAGUAAGUUUGCCAGUUCUUUUUUUAUCCAAGUGAUUUUUUAGCCGGGAGAGAUUGGAGUUGCUGUUUGGUAAUGGAAGAUGAAGGGAGGAAAAGCAAGUAAAAGGCAUGCUGUGCAUAGCCACCACAUGCCAUGGGCACCGUUGUCGUCCUGCACAAAGGAGGAGCAGCUCAGCAAGUUUGGCCUGGGCCGUGGGAGGGAGCAUACAAACAUCUGGACCAACCGGAAACGAGUUAGUUCUGCAGGUUGGUUGUUUUCUGCUAUUUGUCCCCCGUCCUGUUGCUCAGCGGUAGAUUUGUUCCCGUUCAGUGCUAGCA
ensembl:lncRNA